CGGUCGGUAGCUAAGUCUGGCUUAAAGCAGCGGACUUUUAAUCCGUUAAUCGUGAGUUCAAAUCUCACCCGACCGACCA
rnacentral:tRNA from 1 species